rnacentral:rRNA from 1 species
UGCCCCAGUAACGGCGAGUGAAGCGGCAACAGCUCAAAUUUGAAAUCUGGCCCCCAGGGUCCGAGUUGUAAUUUGCAGAGGAUGCUUUUGGCAAGGUGCCUUCCGAGUUCCCUGGAACGGGACGCCAUAGAGGGUGAGAGCCCCGUCUGGUUGGAUACCGAGCCUCUGUAAAGCUCCUUCGACGAGUCGAGUAGUUUGGGAAUGCUGCUCUAAAUGGGAGGUAUAUGUCUUCUAAAGCUAAAUAUUGGCCAGAGACCGAUAGCGCACAAGUAGAGUGAUCGAAAGAUGAAAAGCACUUUGAAAAGAGGGUUAAAUAGUACGUGAAAUUGUUGAAAGGGAAGCGCUCAUGACCAGACUUGGGCCCGGUGAAUCAUCCAGCGCUCGUCGCUGGUGCACUUUGCCGGGCUCAGGCCAGCAUCAGUUCGCUCCGGGGGACAAAGGCUCUGGGAAUGUGGCUCCUCCGGGAGUGUUAUAGCCCACUGCGCAAUACCCUGGGGCGGACUGAGGUUCGCGCAUUCGUGCAAGGAUGCUGGCGUAAUGGUCAUCAGUGACCCGUCUUGAAACACGGACCAAGGAGUCGUCUUCGUAUGCAAGUGUUCGGGUGUAAAACCCCUACGCGUAAUGAAAGUGAACGCAGGUGAGAGCUUCGGCGCAUCAUCGACCGAUCCUGAUGUUCUCGGAUGGAUUUGAGUAAGAGCAUACGGGGCCGGACCCGAAAGAAGGUGAACUAUGCCUGUAUAGGGUGA